rnacentral:lncRNA from 1 species
UCCUGGACCGAGUACUAAGCGGUUAAUAAGUCGAGCGGGGUCAUAUUUCAGGGCCCAGCAUGUGGUAGUAUCUUGUCUUGGAUUACAUACAUGCAACUCAGUUCCUAAGGACGGUUCCAAUGAAACAACCCGCUAUGUACUCCUACAUAGCCUUUCACCGGUACCUUUACCAAAUCAGGUUCAGCACACAACCUUUAUUAACUGAACACAUUCUCACGAUCCUGUUCAUCACCCAAAUGACAGACCAUACACAACUAUAAGCAUAGCAUGCAUAGCAGGAUAUGGCACAUCAA